AAAUAGAUUUCCUAAAAUCUUAAAAGUGCACGCGCACUGUUUCGCGACACCGAGCGGCCGCGCUACGCGACAGCGGACAGCGACCUCACACGCUCGGUCCAUCUCUCCACUAAAAGAAAAAAGGAAAAUCUUAUCCACUCCCGAGCAGCACGACCUUCUUCCUCCACUAACCACCGCCGCUGUGCACCCCGCCUCCUCCGGUCCUCCCUCGCGCGCCUCCUGACAACGCCAACUCGCCGUCGCGAUUGCCCAUCGCCACCCCAGCAGGCCUCGCGUCUUUCCCUCCAGGGCGCCACCAUGAGCCGCCGCAGGAAGCAAUCCCCAACCUCCGGCGCCGCCGCGACUCAUCUUCUGCGAUGGGCACACGCCGCUCCGCGGCUGCGCACAGCUGUGAAUCCUCGCACUUAGCCGUGAGGGCUCCAUCGCCUACUCAAGUGCCCAUCACAUGCAGGUAUUUUUUCAGGAAAUGCAGUCAAAUUCAUGUACAGAUGCAUCACUUUUGUGAUCCUACUAGUCAAUCUCCGGUAUGAUGCUUGGAACGUUGAUGAUUGGAGUGUUGAUCUAUACAGGAGUUUCGGCAUCUUUCUCAAGGAGCUACGUCGACUAGGAUGAGUGGUGGGUUUGUACGGCGGUUAGGAUUAUAGUGGUGGGUUUGAGUUGGAUUUUCACGGUGAGCUGUUCAGAUUUUGUCACUACUGGUAUGGUUCAUGAUCCUUAUUUGAUCCAUCUAUUCUUGCCUAGACUGCAAUUGUCUCGUUAAACAUGAUACUCUCUGUAGAGCUUCAUUACAUUAUUGACCUCUUUUUCUCGUAAAUGCAUCCGUGUGGUUUCUUUGUUUUCUCAUAAGUCGCAUGCAUAUAAGUAACCAGUUGGCUAGUUUGUUGUAAUAGUUGCACAUGAACGCAAAUGUAAUUGGAUGACACAUAUACAUGUCUCAGUUGGCUAGCCAACUUAUGAAGUUGCACAGUGAAGGCUAACCAGUUGCACAGUCGAUGGUAUUCUUCUGCAGCAGCCGCUGAGGUAACAUAAAAUUCCACCAGGGAUACUUUUUACUCCACAUACAGGCAACCAAGUGUAUUAAUUUUCAUACAUAGUUGCAGAAGGACUAAUUAAGCAUUGGCAUGCUGAACUUUCUCAGUUGCUCAACGUUGCCAUCUUCAAGUUUUUUAGAAUUGUCCCAAGAGUAUGUAAUGAUUUGGCAUCCUCUGGCUUUCUAGUUGCAGAAUAGUAUCUAAUUAGUUGGCAACCUCAGUAAUUCUAGUUGCACAACAAUAUACAACUGGUUGACAUCCUCAGCUUCUCUAGUUGCACAAGAACUCAGAUUAGUCCCAUCUAAAAAAAUUGAGGAGGCCCAACAGUAUCUAACGACUUGGCACCCUCAGGUUUUCUAGUUGCAGAAGAGUAUUUAUUUAGUUGGCACCCUCAGCAAUUCUAGUUGGACAACAGUAUCCAAGUAGUUGACAUCCUCAGCCUCUCUAGUUGCACAAGAAUUCAGAUUAAUCCCAUCUUAAAAAUUUUGAGGGAUUGCCCAACAGUAUCUAAUAACUUGGCACCCUCAGGUUUUCUAGUUGCAGAAGAGUAUCUAUUUAGUUGGCACCCUCUACAAUUCUAGUUGGACAACAUUAUCCAAAUAGUUGACAUCUUCAGCCUCUCUAGUUGCACAAGAAUUCAGAUUAAUCCCAUCUUAAUGUUAGGAUUAAUCUUGAUUAUGUAUUUGCAUUGUAUUUUCGUUUAGCAUGUAGUCUAGUGUAGGUUGAUGUUUGUCCCGUGAAGCUUCAGCUCAGCAUGCAGAGGAGGCGAGAUGUUGGGCUGCCGUGCGAUACGGCGAGCACGGCGAGAUGCCGAUGGCAGCGUGAGGCUGCAGUGCUACGCGAGGCAGCAUGGCCGUGUGAUGCGGCAAGCGCGUGAGAGGCUGGAGCGUGACGGGCUGCAUGAAGAGGUUGAACCGGGCGAUCCGGCAAGUCAUUAUCAGCUGUAUACAUGCUAGUUUGGUUGGGUCUAUGGCCGUUCAUGAGGCUGCCUAAGUACUGGCUGUGCAUGUAGUUCUGCAUGUUGAGGGGGUUAGAUGCAUAGUCGUUAGGAUCCUGCAGAGAUGCCUGGAGUAGGAUAAGGCCAGUUAGUGAGUGUGGUAGUGCAUGCAUGGAUUAGUUUGUUAGUGGCCGAGCGUGGCGGCCUGUUAGUUCGUGCGUGACUUAGUGGCCCGGCCAGGUUGUGCGUGAGGGCCAACAGUCUAUGUAUAUAUAUGUCACACUGAGCAAUGAGAAAAUAGAGGCCGCGAGGGCUCAAGAGAAAAGAUGUAGCACUUGUGGUUGCCAAGAAAGAGUACCUCUCGGCAAAGUUAGUUGUUUUUCUUCCUUGUUAUACAUGCGUGUGUGUGUGUGCAGUUUCACCAUGUGUGUGUGUGUUCUUGAGAGAAACCAUAGAAGAGAAGAAGAGAGGAACCCAAAGAGAGUUGUGGGAGGCAGCUCGAGGUAGAAGAAAAGCGGCGCUGCCAGAGGCGGCGCCAACACUUAAAAAAUCUGAGGAUUGCCCAAUAGUAUCUAAUGACUGGCACCCUCAGGCUUUCUAGUUGCAGAAGAGUAUCUAUUUAGUUGGCACCCUCUGCAAUUCUAGUUGGACAACAUUAUCCAAGUAGUUGACAUCCUCAGCCUCUCUAGUUGCACAAAAAUAUCUCAUUAGUUGGCAUCAUCAGCAUUUCUAGUCGCACAAGAAUAUCUCAUUAGUUAUCAUCACUAGUAUUUCUAGUUGCAGAACAAACGGGAUAUCAAGUUGCCAUCCUCAACUUUUUAAUCUAGUUUUCCAGAGAACAAAAAUUUGUAUGUAAUGAUAACUAAUCACCUCUGCCUUUUUUGCAAACCCCAAGAUAUUGUUCAAGGAAAUGGGAGUAAUGAAGCAGAUAAUGUUGAACGACAGUCACAAGCUGGCUACCUGAUGGAGACUGCCUGGCUAGGACCCUUUCUUUCGUUGAGAAGAAGAAGAAGGAGCCCUGUGGAGAAGGAAGUGUGGGCGAGGGGUGCGUGGAGGCUUCGGGAGUUAGUGGGCUAUCAUGUGAUACCGAUUGGCCUUUGUUUUCUGAUUCUUCACGGAUUCUAGGGGUCGGAACGAAGUUUUCUUUAUGGGAACAGUGGGGACAAAAAGUUACCUUUUCCGUCCGGCCGCUCGCGAGCGCUAACAGGCCAACGGCCGCUAGCCAGACGCGUCCAAUAGAUUUUGGAGUGACAUUAGCACCUUAAAACGGACCUACAACCGUAGCAAAUUUUUGCUAUAGAGUGAUAAUGCUAGUAGUAUGGAGGGGAGCCGCUGAGGAGCAGAGGGGACGGCAGGUGGCCGCAACCAAGUGGAGAACCAUGGCCACUGCGAAGCUUUUGCAGAAGGAUGAAAGGGCAAAGAGCCGGGAGACGACGCAUUUUAUAUGUAAACUACCAACCUGUAACUGAACUCCACUUUCAGCUGCCGUUUCCAAAUUUCAUUAAUGGCACAUAGGAACGGCGAUGAACUCCAAUCGCCGCCGAUACCUCUUCCGACGCUAAA